UACGUAGGGUGCAAGCGUUAAUCGGAAUUACUGGGCGUAAAGCGUGCGCAGGCGGUUGUGCAAGACAGGUGUGAAAUCCCCGGGCUUAACCUGGGAAUUGCAUUUGUGACUGUACGGCUAGAGUGCGGCAGAGGGGGAUGGAAUUCCGCGUGUAGCAGUGAAAUGCGUAGAUAUGCGGAGGAACACCGAUGGCGAAGGCAAUCCCCUGGGCCUGCACUGACGCUCAUGCACGAAAGCGUGGGGAGCAAACAGG
rnacentral:rRNA from 1 species